UUUAACCUCAAAUCAGGUAGAACUCCCCGCUAACCUUAACCUUAUCAAUAAGCGGAAGAAACA
rnacentral:rRNA from 1 species